UGGGGAAUCUUGGACAAUGGGGGCAACCCUGAUCCAGCCAUGCCGCGUGAGUGAUGAAGGCCUUAGGGUCGUAAAGCUCUUUCGCCUGUGAAGAUAAUGACGGUAGCAGGUAAAGAAACCCCGGCUAACUCCGUGCCAGCAGCCGCGGUAAUACGGAGGGGACUAGCGUUGUUCGGAAUUACUGGGCGUAAAGAGUUCGUAGGCGGACUAGCAAGUUAGAGGUGAAAUCCCAGGGCUCAAACCUUGGAACUGCCCUCCAAAAACUAUUGGUCUAGAGUUCGAGAGAGGUGAGUGGAAUUCCAAGUGUAGAGGUGAAAAUUCGUAGAUAUUUGGAGGAACACCAGUGGCGAAGGCGGCUCACUGGCUCGAUACUGACGCUGAGGUGCGAAAAGUGUGGGGGAGCAAACAGGAUUAGAUACCCUGGUAGUCCACACCGUAAAACGAUGAGUGCUAGUCGUCGGCAGGCAUGCCUGUCGGUGACGCAGCUAACGCAUUAAGCACUCCGCCU
rnacentral:rRNA from 1 species